CGAAUUCCAAGCUUAGAGUUUGAUCCUGGCUCAGAUUGAACGCUGGCGGCAUGCCUUACACAUGCAAGUCGAACGGCAGCGCGUCCUUCGGGAUGGCGGCGAGUGGCGAACGGGUGAGUAGAGCAUCGGAACGUGCCCGGUAGUGCGGGAUAGCUCGGCGAAAGCCGGAUUAAUACCGCAUGAGAUCCGAGGAUGAAAGCAGGGGACUCGCAAGGGCCUUGCGCUACUGGAGCGGCCGAUGUCAGAUUAGGUAGUUGGUGGGGUAAAGGCUCACCAAGCCUGCGAUCUGUAGCUGGUCUGAGAGGAUGAUCAGCCACAUCGGGACUGAGACACGGCCCGAACUCCUACGGGAGGCAGCAGUGGGGAAUUUUGGACAAUGGGCGCAAGCCUGAUCCAGCCAUGCCGCGUGCAGGAUGAAGGCCCUCGGGUUGUAAACUGCUUUUGUACGGAACGAAAAGCCUCCUUCUAAUAAAGGGGGGUGAUGACGGUACCGUAAGAAUAAGCACCGGCUAACUACGUGCCAGCAGCCGCGGUAAUACGUAGGGUGCGAGCGUUAAUCGGAAUUACUGGGCGUAAAGCGUGCGCAGGCGGUCUUGCAAGACAGUGGUGAAAUCCCCGGGCUCAACCUGGGAACUGCCAUUGUGACUGCAAGGCUGGAGUACGGCAGAGGGGGAUGGAAUUCCGCGUGUAGCAGUGAAAUGCGUAGAUAUGCGGAGGAACACCGAUGGCGAAGGCAGUCCCCUGGGCCUGUACUGACGCUCAUGCACGAAAGCGUGGGGAGCAAACAGGAUUAGAUACCCUGGUAGUCCACGCCCUAAACGAUGUCAACUGGUUGUUGGGGAUUAUUUCCUCAGUAACGAAGCUAACGCGUGAAGUUGACCGCCUGGGGAGUACGGCGCAAGGUAAAACUCAAAGAAUUGACGGGACCCGCACAAGCGUGGAUGAUGUGGUUAAUUCGAUGCACGCGAAAACUUACCACUUUGACAUGUAUGGAUCUGCAGAGAUGCGGGAGUGCUCGCAGAGAGCAUAACACAGUGCUGCAUGCUGUCGUCAG
rnacentral:rRNA from 1 species